AACAAUUACAAUAAUAACAAUAACAAUUUCAAUUAAAACAAUACAAUGACAAUCACAAUAAGAUUUAUUAUCUACAUCUGAUUAUGAAGACGACUUAGACCCAACCCCGAUAACUGGCGAUACGCUUGGUGUAUUGCGUCUUUGCUGACAAUAGUUCCUUGAUGUGAUGGUACCACAGAUCCAAGAGUACCUUAUGGUUUGUUGGAUUAGUCGCAUUUAGGGAGAAAAAAUCCAAUACAAAAAUAAAAAGAAAAAAUCUAGCACAAGCAAGCGUUUUAUGGCACUAAUACAAACUCCAACUCCAACUCAAAUUUCAAUUUCAAUUCUUACUGCCAACUGUGAAGGAGAGACAUAUGCUUACACACGAAACUGGCAACGUUUAACAUACCCAAAUCGAAACACACAGUAUUCAAUGCUUAAAUGCUUAAGACAGAUUCUAAUUCGAUGGUUUCCUUGUUGUCGCACAUCAGGAAGAAUUUGCUUCAUUCAUUUCCAUAAGCCUAGCGCACAUUCCUGAAGAUAGUUAACGACGCAAACAUCUCGUUCAUCGCCACUAAGGGGUUGUAGACAAUUUCGCGCACGGAAUCCAGUUGAACCAAGUGAGGGUUGCGCGUCUCAGCUUUAUGACAGCUAGAAAUAUUUCUCUUUUUG